AGUGAACGCUGGCGGCAGGCCUAACACAUGCAAGUCGAGCGGCAGCGCGUCCGACCACCCUCGGGUGGUCGGAUGGCGGCGAGCGGCGGACGGGUGAGGAAUGCAUCGGAAUCUGCCUCGUUGUGGGGGAUAACGUAGGGAAACUUACGCUAAUACCGCAUACGACCUACGGGUGAAAGUGGGGGACCUUCGGGCCUCACGCGAUGAGAUGAGCCGAUGCCGGAUUAGCUAGUUGGUAGGGUAAAGGCCUACCAAGGCGACGAUCUGUAGCUGGUCUGAGAGGAUGGCCAGCCACACUGGAACUGAGACACGGUCCAGACUCCUACGGGAGGCAGCAGUGGGGAAUAUUGGACAAUGGGGGCGAACCCUGAUCCAGCCAUGCCGCGUGUGUG
rnacentral:rRNA from 1 species